rnacentral:rRNA from 1 species
GAUGAACGCUGGCGGCGUGCCUAAUACAUGCAAGUCGAGCGAACGGACGAGAAGCUUGCUUCUCUGAUGUUAGCGGCGGACGGGUGAGUAACACGUGGAUAACCUACCUAUAAGACUGGGAUAACUUCGGGAAACCGGAGCUAAUACCGGAUAAUAUUUUGAACCGCAUGGUUCAAAAGUGAAAGACGGUCUUGCUGUCACUUAUAGAUGGAUCCGCGCUGCAUUAGCUAGUUGGUAAGGUAACGGCUUACCAAGGCAACGAUGCAUAGCCGACCUGAGAGGGUGAUCGGCCACACUGGAACUGAGACACGGUCCAGACUCCUACGGGAGGCAGCAGUAGGGAAUCUUCCGCAAUGGGCGAAAGCCUGACGGAGCAACGCCGCGUGAGUGAUGAAGGUCUUCGGAUCGUAAAACUCUGUUAUUAGGGAAGAACAUAUGUGUAAGUAACUGUGCACAUCUUGACGGUACCUAAUCAGAAAGCCACGGCUAACUACGUGCCAGCAGCCGCGGUAAUACGUAGGGGGCAAGCGUUAUCCGGAAUUAUUGGGCGUAAAGCGCGCGUAGGCGGUUUUUUAAGUCUGAUGUGAAAGCCCACGGCUCAACCGUGGAGGGUCAUUGGAAACUGGAAAACUUGAGUGCAGAAGAGGAAAGUGGAAUUCCAUGUGUAGCGGUGAAAUGCGCAGAGAUAUGGAGGAACACCAGUGGCGAAGGCGACUUUCUGGUCUGUAACUGACGCUGAUGUGCGAAAGCGUGGGGAUCAAACAGGAUUAGAUACCCUGGUAGUCCACGCCGUAAACGAUGAGUGCUAAGUGUUAGGGGGUUUCCGCCCCUUAGUGCUGCAGCUAACGCAUUAAGCACUCCGCCUGGGGAGUACGACCGCAAGGUUGAAACUCAAAGGAAUUGACGGGGACCCGCACAAGCGGUGGAGCAUGUGGUUUAAUUCGAAGCAACGCGAAGAACCUUACCAAAUCUUGACAUCCUUUGACAACUCUAGAGAUAGAGCCUUCCCCUUCGGGGGACAAAGUGACAGGUGGUGCAUGGUUGUCGUCAGCUCGUGUCGUGAGAUGUUGGGUUAAGUCCCGCAACGAGCGCAACCCUUAAGCUUAGUUGCCAUCAUUAAGUUGGGCACUCUAAGUUGACUGCCGGUGACAAACCGGAGGAAGGUGGGGAUGACGUCAAAUCAUCAUGCCCCUUAUGAUUUGGGCUACACACGUGCUACAAUGGACAAUACAAAGGGCAGCGAAACCGCGAGGUCAAGCAAAUCCCAUAAAGUUGUUCUCAGUUCGGAUUGUAGUCUGCAACUCGACUACAUGAAGCUGGAAUCGCUAGUAAUCGUAGAUCAGCAUGCUACGGUGAAUACGUUCCCGGGUCU